AGCCGCGGGAACACCGGCGGCCCGAGUGGUGAUCGUGAUUAUUGGGUCUAAAGGGUCCGUAGCCGGUUUGGUCAGUCCUCCGGGAAAUCUGAUAGCUCAACUAUUAGGCUUUCGGGGGAUACUGCCAGACUUGGAACCGGGAGAGGUAAGAGGUACUACAGGGGUAGGAGUGAAAUCUUGUAAUCCCUGUGGGACCACCUGUGGCGAAGGCGUCUUACCAGAACGGGUUCGACGGUGAGGGACGAAAGCUGGGGGCACGAACCGGAUUAGAUACCCGGGUAGUCCCAGCCGUAAACGAUGCUCGCUAGGUGUCAGGCAUGGCGCGACCGUGUCUGGUGCCGCAGGGAAGCCGUGAAGCGAGCCACCUGGGAAGUACGGCCGCAAGGCUGAAACUUAAAGGAAUUGGCGGGGGAGCACAACAACGGGUGGAGCCCUGCGGUUUAAUUGGACUCAACGCCGGACAACUCACCGGGGGCGACAGCAAUAUGUAGGCCAAGCUGAAGACUUUGCCUGAAUCGCUGAGAGGAGGUGCAUGG
rnacentral:rRNA from 1 species